rnacentral:rRNA from 1 species
AUGUGCAGAAGAAGGACCUACCAACUACGUGCCAGCAGCCGCGGUAAUACGUAGGGUCCGAGCGUUGUCCAUUAUUACUUGGCGUAAAGAGCUCGUAGGUGGUUGGUCGCGUUGUUCGUGAAAAAUCACAGCUUAACUGUGGGCGUGCGGGCGAUACGGGCAGACUUGAGUACUGCAGGGGAGACUGGAAUUCCUGGUGUAGCGGUGGAAUGCGCAGAUAUCAGGAGGAACACCGGUGGCGAAGGCGGGUCUCUGGGCAGUAACUGACGCUGAGGAGCGAAAGCGUGGGGAGCGAACAGGAUUAGAUACCCUGGUAGUCCACGCCGUAAACGGUGGGUACUAGGUGUGGGUUUCCUUCCUUGGGAUCCGUGCCGUAGCUAACGCAU